UACGUAGGGGGCUAGCGUUGUUCGGAUUUAUUGGGCGUAAAGAGCGCGUAGGCGGCCAGGUAGGUCUGGUGUGAAAACUCGAGGCUUAACCUCGAGAUGUCAUCUGAAACCAUCUGGCUAGAGUCCGGAAGAGGAGAGUGGAAUUCCUGGUGUAGCGGUGAAAUGCGUAGAUAUCAGGAAGAACACCAAUGGCGAAAGCAGGUAACUGGACCAUUACUGACACUCAAGCGCGAAAGCGAGGGGAGCAAACAGG
rnacentral:rRNA from 1 species